UACGAAGGGGGCUAGCGUUGUUCGGAAUUACUGGGCGUAAAGGGCGCGUAGGCGGUUUGAUAAGUCUGAUGUGAAAUCUAUGGGCUCAACCCAUAGCCUGCAUUAGAAACUGUCGGGCUUGAGUAUGGGAGAGGUGAGUGGAAUUUCCGGUGUAGCGGUGAAAUGCGUAGAUAUCGGAAGGAACACCUGUGGCGAAAGCGGCUCACUGGACCAUAACUGACGCUGAGGCGCGAAAGCUAGGGGAGCAAACAGG
rnacentral:rRNA from 1 species